rnacentral:rRNA from 1 species
CGGACGGGUGAGUAACACGUGGAUAACCUACCUAUAAGACUAGGAUAACUUCGGGAAACCGGAGCUAAUACCGGAUAAUAUAUUGAACCGCAUGGUUCAAUAGUGAAAGACGGUUUUGCUGUCACUUAUAGAUGGAUCCGCGCCACAUUAGCUAGUUGGUAAGGUAACGGCUUACCAAGGCAACGAUGCGUAGCCGACCUGAGAGGGUGAUCGGCCACACUGGAACUGAGACACGGUCCAG